rnacentral:rRNA from 1 species
CCUACGGGAGGCAGCAGUGGGGAAUCUUAGACAAUGGGCGCAAGCCUGAUCUAGCCAUGCCGCGUGUGUGAUGAAGGUCUUAGGAUCGUAAAGCACUUUCGCCAGGGAUGAUAAUGACAGUACCUGGUAAAGAAACCCCGGCUAACUCCGUGCCAGCAGCCGCGGUAAUA